AAACCAAGAAGAUUAAGUUAUGCCUUUUUGGUAAAAAGACAGUUAGGCAGUACAAAAAGUUUAUUAAAUCAUUAUUGAGAAGUAAAAUUCGUAGAUAACUCAGAAAAUUAAUUUAAACUAAGAGGCUGAAGCUGUGACACCUUUGAGGGAAACUGGGAUUAGAUACCCCACUAUUCCUAGAAGUAAAAAUAAAUCUACCAGAGUACUAUGGAUCAACGAAAUUUAAAACUCAAAGAGCUUGGCGGUGUUUUAGACUCUUUAGGGGAACCUGUCUCAUAAUCGACAAUCCACGUAAAACCUGACCUUUAUUUGUUCUCAGUUUGUAUACCGUCGUCGUCAGGUAACUUUUUAGAAAAAAGAAGUUAGCAAAAGAAUCACAAUGAAUUCUUACGUCAGAUCAAGGUGCAGCUAAUAUAAUGGGGAGGAUGGGUUACAAUUAUAAAAAUUAUAAUUUACCAAGUAGAAAUUUUAAAUAAUAUCUGUGAAGGAGGACUUAAAAGUAAAAUAAAAUAUAUAAGUAUACUGAAUCGAGCUCUGAAACGUGC
rnacentral:rRNA from 1 species